rnacentral:rRNA from 1 species
CAGUAGCCGCGGGAAUACGGAGGGAGCUAGCGUUGUUCGGAAUUACUGGGCGUAAAGCGCGCGUAGGCGGUUACUCAAGUCAGAGGUGAAAGCCCGGGGCUCAACCCCGGAACUGCCUUUGAAACUAGGUGACUAGAAUCUUGGAGAGGUCAGUGGAAUUCCGAGUGUAGAGGUGAAAUUCGUAGAUAUUCGGAAGAACACCAGUGGCGAAGGCGACUGACUGGACAAGUAUUGACGCUGAGGUGCGAAAGCGUGGGGAGCAAACAGGAUUAGAUACCCGGGUAGUCCCUGUCUCUUAUAC